UACGUAGGGUGCGAGCGUUGUCCGGAAUUAUUGGGCGUAAAGAGCUCGUAGGCGGCUUGUCGCGUCGAUUGUGAAAGCCCGGGGCUUAACUCCGGGUCUGCAGUCGAUACGGGCAGGCUAGAGUGUGGUAGGGGAGAUCGGAAUUCCUGGUGUAGCGGUGAAAUGCGCAGAUAUCAGGAGGAACACCGGUGGCGAAGGCGGCUUGCUGGGCCUUACCUGACGCUGAGGAGCGAAAGCGUGGGGAGCGAACAGG
rnacentral:rRNA from 1 species